AAUGAAAGAAAGAAAAGCCCCCCCUCCGUCCCUCUCCCCACCCUGCCAACCGCCCCAAAGCCGAGCGGGGCUGCCCGCGGCUCGUCCCCAGCCCGCUCCCCGCGGGGGUCCGCGGCUGUGGGGCGAGAGAGAAAGGGUGUCAAGCUCCGGGGUGCCCGGCAGCCCCCCCCAGCCCGGCGCCCCUCCGCUUACCUGCGGGGAGGAGCGGGGUCUCACGGCGGGGAGCACUGCGGGGCUGCUCCGGGGAGGCGGCGGCUGGCUCAGGGGGUGCCCGGGCUCCCCGAGCUCCCCGAGCCCGGCCCCGGCGCCGCCGCCAUCCUCGGCGAGACUCGGGCGGGGGCCGGCAGGCGGCGGGGCCGGGGCGGUCACUGCCGGCCGGGGGAGGACGCCCGGCGCCCGGGGGCUGCGCGCCCCCCCGCCGCCGCCACCGCAGGGCCAGCCGGAGGCGGCCGCCCCCUGCCCGCCCCGCGGCGACGGGCGGGUGCCAUAGCAGCGGGGCCGCGGCCACCCCGGGGGGUGGGAGGGGGGCGUGGGCGGGCGGCGGCUCCCGGGCUGCAGAAAAAGGGUGGGGGGAAAGGAAAAAAAAAAAAAAAAAAAAAAACAACUUUGCCCGCUCCGCCGCGAGGUGCCCGGGCGCCGCCCCCGCCGCAAAGUUUCACUCGGCGAGCUGCCGGCUGCGGGCACGGCUCCCCGGGGACGGCGCCCCCAGCCCCAUCGCCCGCUGCUCCCCGCGGGAUGCGGCCGGAGGAGGAGGAGGAGGAGGAGGAGGAGGAGGAGCAGGAGGAAGCGGGCGGGCACCAGGGAGCCUGCGGCGGGACGGGGCAGGGAAGUUUCCCCUCUCCCCGGGGAAAAGCGUGGCUCCCCGGUGCUCGGUGCCUGUGCUGUCCCCGGUGCCCAGUGCCCGGUGCUGUCCCCGGAGCCUCCCCGCGCCGCUCUGCCUCCGGCCCCGUCGGGCGGGCUCUUUGUAGGGAGCCCGGUCCCGCCCCGGCGGGCUGCGGGGCUCCGAGGCCGGGAAGGAGGAGCCGGCGGGCGGGGAGCGGCGCCCGGCGGAGCUCCGGGGGCUGUGAAGGCUGUGGAGGCACGGGGGGCUCGGCAGUGAGGCAGGACACCCUGCCGAUCUCUUGUGAGAGCCAGGCGGGAGCACGGAGUGAUUCACCCGGGUGGGUUUUGCCUCAGAGACAAUGA
rnacentral:lncRNA from 1 species